rnacentral:lncRNA from 1 species
GUGGUUUUUGUUUUUUUUUAGUAACUUUCAACACAAAUUGUGCUUUCUCCCACAGAUAUUUGACAUUUAACAAGCAAGAAUUGUUAUUUAUUUUAAUUAGUUUUUACUACGUGUGCCUGCUUCCCCCAGGAAUAAAACUAACUGAAGUCAGUACCCCCCCCCCCCCCCAUGUUUAUUUAAAUGGAGCAUUACGAUGAGCCUCCAGUCAGCUCUGUCGUGUUCAAACAAAUGUUCUGAAUUACUGUUUUUCACCUGAUUUCACAAUCAGCUCUUUGCAACCCACUACACUGUCACUAGCAAUCUGACUGAAGGCAAAAAAUUUCUUUAAUGUCUAAAUCGGUUUAUUCUGGAUAAUCUCAACACCUUUCAGCAGCAGUAGUAUUUAAAUACAGCUGAAGAAGAACAAAAUAGCGUGUCUGAAUUUUACAAAAGCUUUGUGUAUCUGUUAUUUUCUUUCUUCCUGGAAUCUUAUAAGUACUAUGUGUGGCAUUUGCACUUUUUUUUUGCCAUGUCUUGCUUAAAAUUUUGCCUUCUCGAGUGUAAAGGUUAGCAUACUUUAAGACUGAUAGUCUUUGACAUAGGAAAGUGAUGGUGUUUAAAAAGUUACAAAACUAUACAUAAACACUGAGUUUAAAAUCUUGGGUCAAGGAAGCUUAGUAAUGUAUCUAUCAAGUACACCUCUAUUGUCCUGAUGCUGUUGAUAGAGAGUAUAAAUCCAUGUCUUUUGGAAUAUAAUAGGAAUGAAAUGACCAUGGAAAGCAUCCUUACUUGCAGCUUGAAGUUCAUUUCCAGCCACCACUUCAUAUAUACUCUUUCUUUCCUUUUCUAUGAUCCCCUCCUUCUUCCCAGUUUUCAAAGAAAGGAAUAUCACAGGUUGUGGAUGAAUUGCCUGGAGGCAUUCAAGGCCAGGCUGGAUGUGGCUCUGGGCAGCCUGGUCUGGUGUUUGGUGACCCUGCCCAUGGCAGAGGGGUUGAAACUAGAUGAUCAUUGUGGUCCUUUUCAACCCAGGCCAUUCUAUGAUCAGGGAGAUGGGAUUAGGGAAGACAAGUUGCCUAUGUCCAUUCUUCAUCCAAUUAUUUUCAAUUAUUUUUUUAAUCCUUUUUUCUACAAAAGUGGAAACCUUUACCAGAGCACUAUCUAGGCAAAAUCUUCCCAUGUGUAUAUAUGUUGGGAUAAAAUGCAGUGUUUCAACUGUGUUUUUUUCUACGAGCACGCUAAAUAAAGAUGAAUAAAGAUUCAUAGCAUCUCUGUUUAAGUAUUAGUGCUUUGAAUACCUGGUAGAUUUAAAGCUGAAUAAAUAAAAAAUUAAGAAGUCCUUAUAUUUUCCAGCUGUUAGUUAUGUCUUGUGAUCCGGCUUGGUAUGCGAGCUGUUCACCAGCAGAGGGCAUUGUGCACCUCGGGGAAACGCAGAUUGCAAAAGCAGUCGCAAGAGAAGGGAAAAAUUCUGACCUUCUGAAGGCAUUGCAAAUUUUAGGAAGUUAAGCAGAAGCUUAAUACAAACUGAAAUUUCCAAUCACAGGAUCUGACGUAUUUCCCAAUGUCAUCUCUCAUCUCUGUAGCUCCUGCACUAGGAAAAACAGAGUGCUCCAAACAUGACUGCUUCAGAGGACCUGAGAAUACUGACACCAGCCUAGCAGAGGACUCCAUGAAAAGUGAAAAAAACAUCCUGCAGUCUCUCAUCCAGAUGUAUCAUUUUGGCACGUCGAAGAUGAAGAGACACUAUAGCUUGCAAAAUUAGAUCUCACCAGUCUUACAGGUUGAUGCUGUUUAUGCAGGUGAACGGGCUCAACGUGGCUUUGGCACUUCAUGAGAGCUUCCUGGGAACUGGAGCACUACUUACUAUAUAUCACUGGAAACAGCAUGGUAGCUGUUGGGAUAUAUACAAGAGCAACAAAAGGGACGUUGCAAUAUCUAGGAGAAAAGAAUUAACACCUGAUACAUUUUAAAAGUACAGUGAGCAGGCCAAACAUUUAAGGUAAAAUAACCGUUUUCCAGAAGUGAUUUCAUUACUUUUCCUUCUGUGUUAUUUGUAAUUUUCUCAACAGUGCAGUAUUUUUAACUUUGAGACAAUAUAUUAAUGUGGGGAUAUUGUCAGUGUAGCUAAUCUUUUCUUUUAGGAACAUCUUAAAAAUUAGCAUAUCUAUCUAAACUGCUAAAAGAGAGAUUACCCCAUCGUUAACUACACACACAUGUUAACGAGAGAGGUGGGAUCGAGACCUCAUGACAACUGCAGACCUCUCUCUACGCACUUAGGCAUAGUGUACCCAUAGCGUAUAAGGGAUGUACCUUUGUUCUGUUGGGGUGCACAUUAAAAAGGAAAUAUCCCCUGGGCAUCCGGGGCCGUAUUAGAGAAUGCCUGCUUCUUAAUACCCACAUUUGUCUUAAGGAGUUUUAUUUGGGUCGAGGUUUGUCUGGCAACAGGUAGACCAAAUGUUUGAGACAGGAGAAAGAUACUGCAGUUCGUCUGCAUUUCAGAGCACUCUUCCUGAGACAGGCUAUGCCGGUGACAACACAUGAUACUGUCUGAGGUAUGUGCUCACUGUAUCUUCUUCCCAGAAAUAAUACAUACUUUAGAGAACAGAGGACAAUAUCUGAGAAGUGUAACUGCUACUUAUACAGCAAAUGCUCUGUAUGCUACACAACUGUAAAAUGAUCAAUCAAGGCUUGUCAAAAAUGAAAAUCCACAAAAAUAAUAAAAAAAAGGCCAUGAAAUGAAAUAAAAGGGGAAAAAAUAAGAGCUGAAUGCACAUACUCUAUUAAAGCAUGAAUAUCAGGAUAAGGCAUAUGAAAAGAGACGUAGGAGAGCAACUGUAGUUUUAAAACACUUGAUAAUUAAAGAUGAAACAAAAAGUAGAAUAAGAUUAGAUUGAAGGAAGGAAGUCUAGCAAGGUUGUGGAAACUUGAGAAAAAAUAGUUACAUGUAGAACAAAUAAGAAACAGGAUGUUGUACUUCAUAAAGUUACACAAAGUUAAAAGAUUUAAACAUAAAAAAUAUAACAGCUUUCAGUGUAAUUUAUGGUAUAAAGACACUUCUUAUUUUGUGGAGUAAAAGCAAGCAACUUCUGAUCUUCAGAUCAAUCUAAAUAGAUAUUUAAUUGUUUAGAUUUCAAGGUCUCAAUCAAUUACUUCUUCCAACAGUAAAUAUCCAUAGUUAAAAUGCUUUGGGAUGUUUCUAUCUUUGUACUCUGUCUUUUUCUCUCAUCUCGAAGAAAAGCUCAAAGAAUAUAAAUAUAAGGAAUAAUUUUUUUACAGUGAGGGUGGUGAGGUAUUGAAAUACGUUGCCCAGUGUUGUGGUUCAUGUCCUGAUCCUGGAGACUUUCAAGGCAAGGCUGGACUGGGCCCCA